rnacentral:lncRNA from 1 species
UUUAACGGAUUAAUAUUUUUGUAAUUAUAUGUGAGAUCCGAGAAUUUAGAAUUAUCCUAUAUAUGAGAUAUAAUAGGACUAAACCUUUUAACCCGAUUAUAGCAUUGCGCGUUAGCUAGACCCAAAAAGUUAAGAGAGUUAUGCAUGUUAUGAUUAAAAUAGUUUUAGAACUUGUAAGCUCCUCGAAAGUAAGGCGUCAUAAUUGGUAUUAAAGCCAACACCAGUAGAUGAGCCAGGGUUAUGCGGCGAGCAGAGCUGGCCAAUAACUAUUGUACAUGGAGCGCGGCUCCAGAUAAGGUUGGUUAAGACUAGUGAGAUGAGUCUCUAUUGUCUGGUAGUUGUGAGUUUUUAAACCCAAUUAUAACAUUUUGGGCGGUGGUUAGGUUCAAGAGGUUAAAAAAAUUAAGCGUGUUAGGGCUUGAGUAAUGCUAAGAUGGAUGACCCGCCCCUCUGGAAAGUGGUGCAUUACAUUUGUUAUCUGAAAACUUGCCAGAAGUGUAUAAUGGGUUAAAUCCUUAUAUCCUACCUCAUUUAUUAACUUUAUGCGUGUUUCAUAUUUAUCAUGCACGUGAAUAAAAAUAUUAAUAAAUAUUUCUGGACUCAUUUGUCGAUCUUUUUGGGCAACACAGAAAAUUAUAUUUGAAUACAAAAUUCAAAUAUAAUAUGAAAUAAAAGUUUUUAAAAAAAUCUAAACUCAUUUUCUCAUUUCUAAAAAAAAAACACUUUGUAUGUAAUUCAUGUGGUUUGGUAUUUAUUUUUUUUAUUUUAACAUCUUAUGAUUUAAAAUGUAUCAAUUUAGUACCUCGUGGUUUUAUUUUUAUUUUUUUAUUAUCCGUUCUACUAAUUGUUUUUGUUAAAUCAAUGACAAGGUUAAAAUUAAAAGGUACUAAAGUGAAUAUUUAAUAAAUUUGGGUAGGGUAUCUCAAGUUUUUGUAUAUAAUUUAACGAAAUGUUAAGAGAGAAUCUGACGAAAAGAGAAAAAUAAAAUCAUAGAAUACUAAAUUAAUACACUUUAAAUCACAGGAUAUUAAAAUAAAAAAAAAGCGAAAACACAGAAAUGAUAGUUGAAGUUUAUCCUAAAAAAAAAAAACAAAAAUUGUUUUU